rnacentral:rRNA from 1 species
UACGUAGGGUGCGAGCGUUGUCCGGAAUUAUUGGGCGUAAAGAGCUCGUAGGCGGCUUGUCGCGUCGGAUGUGAAAGCCCGGGGCUUAACUCCGGGUCUGCAUUCGAUACGGGCAGGCUAGAGUUCGGUAGGGGAGAUCGGAAUUCCUGGUGUAGCGGUGAAAUGCGCAGAUAUCAGGAGGAACACCGGUGGCGAAGGCGGGUCUCUGGGCCGAUACUGACGCUGAGGAGCGAAAGCGUGGGGAGCGAACAGG